UCACGUGUGCAAGGGAUCAAGAUGUCUCCCCCAGGUUGACUCUUACUCGCUUGUCUUGCAUCUUGAAUGUGCCGACAAGCUAGAAAACAGAGUCACAGGAAAGGCACCAAGAUAUCUUAUGGCUACUUACUUACCUGGAGACCCGCAGAUUGGCUUCGGCCACCUCGUCGAACCUUUGACCGACAAGGCUGGAGACUUUGAAGGAUAUGGACCCUAGGUGGUCUACAGUGUUGACGAGGGCCUUCACGGCGUACUCCUUAAGAUUGCUCACCACCCUGUGCCCAUAUGCAUACACAUAAAUAAAAAAUGAGCGAACCAGGCACAAAUUGCAAAAGCGUGGAAGCUUGCUGCUGAUUAGCUAGAUGAUCUUGUGCAGCAGCAUACGGGAGGAAGCAAUGGGUAUAUGGACAUACGCCUGCUUUCCGUCUUCCUGCAUGUAGGCUAGUUCGAAAUACUCAGCUGCAGAAUACAGUUGCGACCGCAGCGUCAUGAGAUCCUGCAUAGAGAGAUAAGAUGAAUGUCUCCCCCAUCUGCACCUCCUCCGGAGCGACGCGCAUCCCCGUGUCAGCGGCGGCGCCUCUUCUCGGG